rnacentral:rRNA from 1 species
UACGGGGGGGGCAAGCGUUGUUCGGAAUUACUGGGCGUAAAGGGUUUGUAGGUGGCUUGCUAAGUCGGACGUGAAAUCCCUCAGCUUAACUGGGGAACUGCGUCUGAGACUGGCAAGCUUGAGUGCAGGAGAGGAACGCGGAAUUCCAGGUGUAGCGGUGAAAUGCGUAGAUAUCUGGAAGAACACCCGUGGCGAAGGCGGCUCUCUGGGACGGUACUGACGCUGAGACGCGAAAGCGUGGGGAGCGAACAGG